rnacentral:rRNA from 1 species
GGAGACAGAGCUUUCCCUUCGGGGACAAAGUGACAGGUGGUGCAUGGUUGUCGUCAGCUCGUGUCGUGAGAUGUUGGGUUAAGUCCCGCAACGAGCGCAACCCUUGAUUUUAGUUGCCAGCAUUUAGUUGGGCACUCUAAAGUGACUGCCGGUGCAAGCCGGAGGAAGGUGGGGAUGACGUCAAAUCAUCAUGCCCCUUAUGACCUGGGCUACACACGUGCUACAAUGGAUAGUACAAAGGGUCGCGAAGCCGCGAGGUGGAGCUAAUCCCAUAAAACUAUUCUCAGUUCGGAUUGUAGGCUGCAACUCGCCUACAUGAAGCCGGAAUCGCUAGUAAUCGUGGAUCAGCAUGCCACGGUGAAUACGUUCCCGGGCCUUGUACACACCGCCCGUCACACCACGAGAGUUUGUAACACCCGAAGUCGGUAGGGUAACCUUUAUGGAGCCAGCCGCCGAAGGUGGGACAGAUAAUUGGGGUGAAGUCGUAACAAGGUAGCCGUAUCGGAAGGUGCGGCUGGAUCACCUCCUUU